rnacentral:rRNA from 1 species
UGCAGUCGAACGGCAGCACGGAGCUUGCUCUGGUGGCGAGUGGCGAACGGGUGAGUAAUAUAUCGGAACGUACCCUAGAGUGGGGGAUAACGUAGCGAAAGUUACGCUAAUACCGCAUACGAUCUAAGGAUGAAAGUGGGGGAUCGCAAGACCUCAUGCUCGUGGAGCGGCCGAUAUCUGAUUAGCUAGUUGGUAGGGUAAAAGCCUACCAAGGCAUCGAUCAGUAGCUGGUCUGAGAGGACGACCAGCCACACUGGAACUGAGACACGGUCCAGACUCCUACGGGAGGCAGCAGUGGGGAAUUUUGGACAAUGGGCGAAAGCCUGAUCCAGCAAUGCCGCGUGAGUGAAGAAGGCCUUCGGGUUGUAAAGCUCUUUUGUCAGGGAAGAAACGGUGAGAGCUAAUAUCUCUUGCUAAUGACGGUACCUGAAGAAUAAGCACCGGCUAACUACGUGCCAGCAGCCGCGGUAAUACGUAGGGUGCAAGCGUUAAUCGGAAUUACUGGGCGUAAAGCGUGCGCAGGCGGUUUUGUAAGUCUGAUGUGAAAUCCCCGGGCUCAACCUGNGAAUUGCAUUGGAGACUGCAAGGCUAGAAUCUGGCAGA